AGUGAACGCUGGCGGUAGGCCUAACACAUGCAAGUCGAACGGCAGCACAGUAAGAGCUUGCUCUUACGGGUGGCGAGUGGCGGACGGGUGAGGAAUACAUCGGAAUCUACUUUUUCGUGGGGGAUAACGUAGGGAAACUUACGCUAAUACCGCAUACGACCUACGGGUGAAAGCAGGGGAUCUUCGGACCUUGCGCGAUUGAAUGAGCCGAUGUCGGAUUAGCUAGUUGGCGGGGUAAAGGCCCACCAAGGCGACGAUCCGUAGCUGGUCUGAGAGGAUGACCUGCCACACUGGAACUGAGACACGGUCCAGACUCCUACGUGAGGCAGCAGUGGGGAAUAUUGGACAAUGGGAGAAAGCCUGUUCCAGCCAUACCGCGUGGGUGAAGAAGGCCUUCGGGUUGUAAAGCCCUUUUGUUGGGAAAGAAGAGCAGCAGGUUAAUACCCCGCUGUUCUGACGGUACCCAAAGAAUAAGCACCGGCUAACUUCGUG
rnacentral:rRNA from 1 species